rnacentral:rRNA from 1 species
UACAGAGGGUGCAAGCGUUGUUCGGAAUUAUUGGGCGUAAAGGGCGCGUAGGCGGCACUGUUAGUCAGGCGUGAAAUUCCUGGGCUCAACCUGGGGACUGCGCUUGAUACGGCAGAGCUAGAGGAUGGAAGAGGCUCGCGGAAUUCCCAGUGUAGAGGUGAAAUUCGUAGAUAUCGAGAGGAACACCGGUGGCGAAGGCGGCCAACUGGACGAAUACUGACGCUGAGACUCGAAAGCGUGGGGAGCAAACAGG